UACAGAGGGGGCAAGCGUUGUUCGGAAUUACUGGGCGUAAAGGGCGCGUAGGCGGCCCGCUAAGUCGAACGUGAAAUCCCUGGGCUCAACCCAGGAACUGCGUCCGAUACUGGUGGGCUUGAAUCCGGGAGAGGGAUGUGGAAUUCCAGGUGUAGCGGUGAAAUGCGUAGAUAUCUGGAGGAACACCGGUGGCGAAGGCAGCCCCCUGGGCUAACACUGACGCUCAGGCACGAAAGCGUGGGGAGCAAACAGG
rnacentral:rRNA from 1 species